rnacentral:lncRNA from 1 species
AAAGAUUGGCAUAACUCUUGUAUAUCAGCUGCCAACGAUAACCCUGCGUGUGUGUGUACUGCCUAUUACUUUUCAACCAGAGUCAUGACAUGAUCCUUCUCGAAAAUACACAGUCAGGAUACUAAGCUAGCUUUUCCUUUCUUACAAUUCAGAGUAUGGGUCCGGAUUUCAGCUUGGGGGAAAACUGCACUUUUCAUGUUCUCACAGGCG